rnacentral:rRNA from 1 species
UACAGAGGGUGCGAGCGUUAAUCGGAAUUACUGGGCGUAAAGCGUGCGUAGACGGUUGCAUAAGUCGGAUGUGAAAUCCCCGGGCUCAACCUGGGAAUUGCAUUCGAGACUGUGUAGCUGGGGUGCGGAAGAGGGAAGCGGAAUUUCCGGUGUAGCGGUGAAAUGCGUAGAUAUCGGAAGGAACAUCAGUGGCGAAAGCGGCUUCCUGGUCCAGCACCGACGUUCAGGCGCGAAAGCGUGGGGAGCAAACAGG